GGGUAAAUAGCUUAGUCCGGUUUAUAGCGCUGGUCUGUCAAGCCAGAAGUCGCGGGUUCAAAUCCCGUUUUUCCCG
rnacentral:tRNA from 3 species